GCUUGUCUCAAAGAUUAAGCCAUGCAUGUCUAAGUAUAAGCACUUAUACCGUGAAACUGCGAAUGGCUCAUUACAUCAGUUAUAGUUUAUUUGAUAGUCCCCACUACUUGGAUAACCGUAGUAAUUCUAGAGCUAAUACAUGCACAAAAUCCCGACUUACGAAGGGAUGUAUUUAUUAGAUGGAAACCAAUGCGGGGCAACCCGGAUUAUGGUGAUUCAUAAUAACUUUCAGAUCGAUCGCAAGAUCGAUGCAUCAUUCAAGUUUCUGCCCUAUCAGCUUUGGAUGGUAGGGUAUUGGCCUACCAUGGCUUUAACGGGUAACGGAGAAUUAGGGUUCGAUUCCGGAGAGGGAGCCUGAGAAAUGGCUACCACAUCCAAGGAAGGCAGCAGG
rnacentral:rRNA from 1 species